rnacentral:tRNA from 1 species
UUGGGUGUAGCUCAGUGGUUAGAGCGUCGGCCUGAUACGCCGUGUGUCGUGGGUUCAAAUCCCACCACCCAAAC